AGUGAACGCUGGCGGUAGGCCUAACACAUGCAAGUCGAACGGCAGCACAGUAAGAGCUUGCUCUUACGGGUGGCGAGUGGCGGACGGGUGAGGAAUACAUCGGAAUCUACUUUUUCGGGGGGGAUAACGUAGGGAAACUUACGCUAAUACCGCAUACGACCUACGGGUGAAAGCAGGGGAUCUUCGGACCUUGCGCGAUUGAAUGAGCCGAUGUCGGAUUAGCUAGUUGGCGGGGUAAAGGCCCACCAAGGCGACGAUCCGUAGCUGGUCUGAGAGGAUGAUCGGCCACACUGGAACUGAGACACGGUCCAGACUCCUACGGGAGGCAGCAGUGGGGAAUAUUGGACAAUGGGCGCAGGCCUGAUCCAGCCAUACCGCGUGGGUGAAGAAGGCCUUCGGGUUGUAAAGCCCUUUUGUUGGGAAAGAAAAGCAGCAGGUUAAUACCCCGCUGUUCUGACGGUACCCAAAGAAUAAGCACCGGCUAACUUCGUG
rnacentral:rRNA from 1 species